rnacentral:rRNA from 1 species
AAAAACAUGUCUGUUUGGAGUUAUAAGGAGUCUAACCUGCCCACUGAUUAAGUAAUUAAAGGGCCGCAGUAUUAUAACUGUGCAAAGGUAGCAUAAUCAUUAGGUUUUUAAUUGGAAUCUUGAAUGAAUGGUUGGACAAAAGGAGCACUGUCUUUAUAUUAAAUUUUGAAUUUAACUUUUAAGUGAAAAGGCUUAAAUAUUCUAAAGGGACGAUAAGACCCUAUAAAACUUUACAUUAAAAUUGAAUUUUAGUUAAAUUUAAUUAUAAAGAUUUAAUUUAAUUAUUUGUUAUAUUGGGGAGAUAUAGGUAAACAUUUUAUUAACUGCUUAAUGAUUAAACAUUUACUAAUGGGGAAUAAUAGAUCCUUGUUAAAGACUAUUGAAUUAAGUUACUUUAGGGAUAACAGCGUUAUUUUUUUUGAGAGUUCAUAUCGAAAAAAAAGGUUGCGACCUCGAUGUUGAAUUAAAAUAUCUAUAUAAUGGAGCGGUUGUAUAGGAAGGUCUGUUCGACCUUUAAAAUUUUACAUGAUUUGAGUUCAAACCGGCGUGAGCCAGGUUGAU